rnacentral:tRNA from 1 species
UCGGGGUGUGGCUCAGCUUGGCUAGAGCCUGGUUUGGGACCAGGAGGUCGCAGGUUCAAAUCCUGUCACCCCGAU